ensembl:lncRNA
AGUAUCCAUCGUGAUAUUUUAAACAGUCCAUAAAGCACUCAGGACGGCCCUGAAAGAGAGGGGCCGUAGUAGGGUGCUUCCAUAUCGGGCAUUAAUAUGAGAAUGACCCUUAAAUGCAUUUAGGACCAUAUUUUAAUUUUUGGGUUCCCAGGUGCACGUUUUCAAUCACCAGGUGCACGGAUGUAUAGGGUCCCCCAUGGAUAAAAGGGCCGUAGUAGGGUGCUUCCAUAUCGGGCAUUAAUAUGAGAAUGACCCUUAAAUGCAUUUAGGACCAUAUUUUAAUUUUUGGGUUCCCAGGUGCACGUUUUCAAUCACCAGGUGCACGGAUGUAUAGGGUCCCCCAUGGAUAAAAGGUCCGUAUUAGGGUGCUCCCAUAGCGGGCAUGACUUUUUGGAACACCGCUCAUGUAAUUUUAGGUUCCCAGGUGCACGUUUUCAAUCACCAGUUGCACGAAAAAAAUAAAAUAUUAAACCUUCCAUAAAUCACUCAGGGCGGGCCCCCAUUGAUAGAGGGCCGUAGUAGGGUGCUUCCAUAGCGGGCAUGGGUAUCUGGAACACCGUUAAGUCAUUUAGAACCGUAUUUUAACUUUUGGGUUACCAGGUGCCUAUUUUCAAUCACCAGGUGCACGGCUGUGAAAAGUGGGGACUCUGUCAUUUUUUCGACCGAUUUCUGAAAUUUUCAAAAAAUGAUUAAAAAUACUUCCCGAAGGGCCAGAGGUCCCAAAUUUCGUGUCAUACCCUCUCUCGUGAUGGGCAACAAUUCCAGCAUAUAAAAAAGAUUUCGCAUCCACAGGCACCUAUGUUUCUGGUAGAAUUCACUUUUUCCCAAAAACGUAAAUCACGAUUUUCUAUUAAAAUGUUUUAUACAAAAACGUUUUUAAUUAAAUGGAAAUGCUCGUCUAUUUGUGCCCUUU